rnacentral:rRNA from 1 species
CCUACGGGGGGCAGCAGUGAGGAAUAUUGGUCAAUGGACGAGAGUCUGAACCAGCCAAGUAGCGUGAAGGAUGACUGCCCUAUGGGUUGUAAACUUCUUUUAUAUGGGAAUAAAAUGUUCCACGUGUGGGAUUUUGUAUGUACCAUAUGAAUAAGGAUCGGCUAACUCCGUGCCAGCAGCCGCGGUAAUACGGAGGAUCCGAGCGUUAUCCGGAUUUAUUGGGUUUAAAGGGAGCGUAGGUGGAUUGUUAAGUCAGUUGCGAAAGUUUGCGGCUCAACCGUAAAAUUGCAGUUGAAACUGGCAGUCUUGAGUACAGUAGAGGUGGGCGGAAUUCGUGGUGUAGCGGUGAAAUGCUUAGAGAUCACGAAGAACUCCGAUUGCGAAGGCAGCUCACUGGACUGCAACUGACACUGAGGCUCGAAAGUGUGGGUAUCAAACAGGAUUAGAUACCCGAGUAGUC